UACCAAAAAUUCAGGAGAUGUGUAUUUAAGAGAUUAAAAUUAGGACAAGGAAAUCACUCGCGAUCAAGUCUUUCAUAAAGGAGCCGCACCAUGCUACUUCCUCUAUCCCACCUAAACUCUGACGUAGAGGAAGCAUACCCUACAACCAAAACAUGUCAAUAAAGAACAGAGAACAAGUCAUCCAAGAGAAGAGUCUAAAGCAAUUUAAAAGGGGUAAAGGAGAGACCCACAGAGCUCUUUCUCACCAGCAGGGGCACC
rnacentral:lncRNA from 1 species